UACGAAGGGGGCUAGCGUUGCUCGGAAUGACUGGGCGUAAAAGGGCGCGUAGGCGGCUCAUACAGUCAGAUGUGAAAUUCCUGGGCUUAACCUGGGGGCUGCAUUUGAUACGUGUGGGCUUGAGUGGGGAAGAGGGUCGUGGAAUUCCCAGUGUAGAGGUGAAAUUCGUAGAUAUUGGGAAGGAACACCGGUGGCGAAGGCGGCGACCUGGUCCUUGACUGACGCUGAGCGCGAAAGCGUGGGGAGCAACAGG
rnacentral:rRNA from 1 species